AGGUCUCCUUAGCUCUCAAGGUCUGGUCUUAUUUAUUUCUUCUUUUUACUUAAGAUGUUUGUUUUUCUCUUUUAUUGCUAAAGUUUAUUUCUUUUGCUUUAUUGUAGUGGUUUUCUUUUGUUGGAUCUUUCUUAAAUUUAGUUUUCAUUCUUCUUCAUCGCAUCUUUAGUUUAUAGGAAGAUUCAUUGAUCUUCGGCAAUCUUAAUGGAGGUUCGAGGGCAGCAUGGUUAUGUCACAAAUUGAUGUUGCUUGUUUAUUGUUUGAUGUUAUGCUUCAAAGAAAUGUUGGCUCUUGGUCGUUGCUUCUUUAAUUGUGUAAUUAACUUGAUGUUAUCAGAACAACUUUUUAUUGUGAAUUGAAAAGAUAUCCUUCAUGAGCCAGGCCUUAAUUAAGCUUCAAGAUUGUUUCAUUGUUGUCGAAUUGCAUUAAAUUUAACCAUGCAGAUGCAGGAUUAUAUAUUGUUAUGGCAUUGAUCAUUUUACUUGUGUUAUGCCCAUCUCAUCAAAAUUUCAGAUGUUUCAAGUCAUUCAAAAG
rnacentral:misc_RNA from 1 species